UCCAGGCUGCUCAAAGCAUCUUUAAGGGCAGCUUGCUAGUGUCUUAAGACUGAAGCUCUAGUUCAACUCUCAGAGAUGAAGCCAGCUGCUUUUUUGCUAUUGGUGCUGCUGCUCUGGGUACCAGGUUCUGCUGGGGACAUUGUGCUGACCCAGUCUCCAGCUACUUUGACUGUGUCUCCAGGGCAAAGUGCCACCAUCUCCAGCAAAGCCAGUCACAGUGUCACUACCGUUGGUAUUCAUCUUAUGAACUGGCAUCAACAGAAACCAGGACAGCACUCCAAACUCCUCAUCUAUGAUGCAUCCAGCCUAGCAUCUGGGGUCCCUGCCAGGUUCAGCAACAGUGGGUCUGGGUCAGAAUUCACCCUCACCAUCCAUUCUGUUGAGGCUGAUGAUGUUGCAACCUAUUACUGUCAGCAAGGUCUAGCGGUUCCUCUCACAGUGCUCCAGGGCUAA